CCUGCCAGGGCAUCAGUGUCUUCUGCUGCAAUUACAUGUGGGCAUGACUUUCUCUGGCAUGAGACCACAGUUCCUUAGAGGGAAGUGGCUGUUUUCUUCAUGGAGCCCGGAAUAGUGCCUGCCACACGCCACUCCUUCCAGAUAGAGAAAUCCUGGUUCUCUCAUCCUGAUCUUAACCCGUGCAAAAGAGUAACAGACAAGUUCAAGGAGAGGGCAUGUGCUUGAACAUGAGAGAGAGGAAGAGAAGAAGAGACAAAGCACCCCUCCCUAGCCCUCCGCUCUCCGCCCGAUGGAGCCUGGCCAUACCACAAUCCCUUUUCCCCCAUUUCUCUAUCCCAAUCAGGAUCCUGGGCACACACAUCCAACGUAUUACUUCCAUGGCUGAGAUUCGAACCUUGUCAGCCAUGUGGGAUCCUGCUUCCUCUGCACAGCGCUUAACCACGGUGCUACGGGCCAGCCCUACGUAUUUUUUGUAACUCUGAGAUGAUGCUGUGGAGCUUUCAUUGGUGUCCUUG